CCGGUACCCAUUAGCUUUGUUCCCGGAAACAGUAAGUCGUAACAAGGUAACCGUAUAGUUUGAUCCUGGCUCAGGACGAACGCUGGCGGCGUGCUUAACACAUGCAAGUCGAACGAUGAAGCCGCUUCGGUGGUGGAUUAGUGGCGAACGGGUGAGUAACACGUGGGCAAUCUGCCCUUCACUCUGGGACAAGCCCUGGAAACGGGGUCUAAUACCGGAUAAUACUCCUGCCUGCAUGGGUGGGGGUUGAAAGCUCCGGCGGUGAAGGAUGAGCCCGCGGCCUAUCAGCUUGUUGGUGGGGUAAUGGCCUACCAAGGCGACGACGGGUAGCCGGCCUGAGAGGGCGACCGGCCACACUGGGACUGAGACACGGCCCAGACUCCUACGGGAGGCAGCAGUGGGGAAUAUUGCACAAUGGGCGAAAGCCUGAUGCAGCGACGCCGCGUGAGGGAUGACGGCCUUCGGGUUGUAAACCUCUUUCAGCAGGGAAGAAGCGCAAGUGACGGUACCUGCAGAAGAAGCGCCGGCUAACUACGUGCCAGCAGCCGCGGUAAUACGUAGGGCGCAAGCGUUGUCCGGAAUUAUUGGGCGUAAAGAGCUCGUAGGCGGCUUGUCACGUCGGAUGUGAAAGCCCGGGGCUUAACCCCGGGUCUGCAUUCGAUACGGGCUAGCUAGAGUGUGGUAGGGGAGAUCGGAAUUCCUGGUGUAGCGGUGAAAUGCGCAGAUAUCAGGAGGAACACCGGUGGCGAAGGCGGAUCUCUGGGCCAUUACUGACGCUGAGGAGCGAAAGCGUGGGGAGCGAACAGGAUUAGAUACCCUGGUAGUCCACGCCGUAAACGUUGGGAACUAGGUGUUGGCGACAUUCCACGUCGUCGGUGCCGCAGCUAACGCAUUAAGUUCCCCGCCUGGAGACGCCCCC
rnacentral:rRNA from 1 species